AUGGGGGCGAGGCAUAGCAUGGGAGAAAUGGUGGAGCCGCCGCCUGCUCCAGACGCUGUGGGUGGCAGAGAGGAGGCGCGCCAUUCGAGGAAGUCGCCGCACCGGCCACACGGAGGCGCUGGUCCCGGGAGAAGAGUGUUGCGCCGGGGGGAGGAAGCUGGGUGGGGACGGCACCAUUGGGCGGGUGGAGGGUUGCAGGGGGGCUGGGGUAGUAUAGUGGUGGUCGAGGGGGUUGCCGAAGUGGGAUCGAGGGAAGAAGGUGGAAGGGGAUAUGCGGAGAAGAAGGUGGACAGGGAUUGGUGUGACGCGGGGGAAGAAGGUGAGGUUGGUCGGGUGGUUGUUACUGUUAGCAGAAUAAGUUUAGGUAGUUUAGGUGUUAGCAGAAUAAGGGUCUUAAGGGAUGUUAGUAGAAUAGACCCAUCCUAUAUAUACUAA
rnacentral:rRNA from 1 species